AAGUCAUGGAAGAUAUGGGAGCACUUCAACCAGGAUUACCAACUCCAAAUAUGCUCCCCCAGUCAUGGACAUUAUUAGUAAUAGACUUAAAGGAUUGUUUGUUAAACAUUUGCCAGAAUUCGAAAAACUUUGCCAUGUUUAUGUUUCAUUUGAUACCUUUUCUGAUUGUACAUAUGUAUAGGUGUACUCAGGUUUCUUAUGAAUAUGUAAAAGCAAUGUUCUAUAUAUAUUUAGAAAAU